UACGAAGGGGGCUAGCGUUGCUCGGAAUCACUGGGCGUAAAGGGUGCGUAGGCGGGUCUUUAAGUCCGGGGUGAAAUCCUGGAGCUCAACUCCAGAACUGCCUUUGAUACUGAAGAUCUUGAGUUCGGGAGAGGUGAGUGGAACUGCGAGUGUAGAGGUGAAAUUCGUAGAUAUUCGCAAGAACACCGGUGGCGAAGGCGGGUCUCUGGGCCGAUACUGACGCUGAGGAGCGAAAGCGUGGGGAGCGAACAGG
rnacentral:rRNA from 1 species